rnacentral:rRNA from 1 species
GACGAACGCUGGCGGCGUGCUUAACACAUGCAAGUCGAACGGAAAGGCCCUGCUUUUGUGGGGUGCUCGAGUGGCGAACGGGUGAGUAACACGUGAGUAACCUGCCCUUGACUUUGGGAUAACUUCAGGAAACUGGGGCUAAUACCGGAUAGGAGCUCCUGCUGCAUGGUGGGGGUUGGAAAGUUUCGGCGGUUGGGGAUGGACUCGCGGCUUAUCAGCUUGUUGGUGGGGUAGUGGCUUACCAAGGCUUUGACGGGUAGCCGGCCUGAGAGGGUGACCGGCAGCAGUGGGAUUGAGGAGCGCGGGGGGGUAGUACGGGGGGCAGUACGGGGGGUGGGGGCACACUGGGCGGGGGCCGGACGCCGCGACGCCGUGUGCGGGAGGGUGGGGGUCGGUAUGUAAUCAGGUUGCCCCGGUGAAGGACGGGCAGUGAGGGGGAGGCAGAAAGAAGCACCGGCCCGCUACGUG